CCGCGAACGGGUGAGUAACACGUGGGUUACCUGCCUCGAUGACCGGGACAACCCGAGGAAACUCGGGCUAAUACCGGAUGUGCCCGCAAGGGGAAAGGAAGCUUCGGCCUCCGCAUCGAGAUGGGCCCGCGGCCCAUUAGCUUGUUGGUGAGGUAACGGCUCACCAAGGCCACGAUGGGUAGCUGGUCUGAGAGGACGAUCAGCCACACUGGGACUGAGACACGGCCCAG
rnacentral:rRNA from 1 species